rnacentral:tRNA from 1 species
GUCAGGUUGGCCGAGCGGUCUAAGGCGCCAGACUUAAGCUCUGUUUCUCGAAAGAGAGCGUGGGUUCGAAUCCCACACCUGACA